UCCGUAGGCGGAUUGAUAAGUCAGAGGUGAAAUCCCACAGCUUAACUGUGGAACUGCCUUUGAAACUGUUAGUCUUGAGUUAUAUGGAAGUAGAUAGAAUGUGUAGUGUAGCGGUGAAAUGCAUAGAGAUUACACAGAAUACCGAUUGCGAAGGCAGUCUAGUACGUAUAUACUGACGCUAAUGGACGAAAGCGUGGGGAGCGAACAGGAUUAGAUACCCUGGUAGUCC
rnacentral:rRNA from 1 species